rnacentral:lncRNA from 1 species
AAAAACAAGUAGAAUGAAAUUCAAAACAGUGUAGCUGUGGCCAUUGAUUGACACAUUAAAAUCAUCCAUUGACUGGGAUAAUUUAGGUGAACGUUUGUAUGUAACGACCAAUGCUCACUGUGUACUUUUUAAAGACACUUAAACUAUGGGGUCACCAAAGGUUCUCAACACCUAAAUAAAGUAAUUCGAAAAAUUAAUCAGAA